rnacentral:lncRNA from 1 species
UUAUUAAUAGGACGAUAACGCUUAUCGAGUACAGAUCAUUGUAUGCUAUAUAGGUUGAUUGCCCUCGUAACCAAAGAGUGUGGAGACACUGGCAUGGCAUACAGAUGAGAUAUAGGAGUACAUCAUCACUGAACAAGUGACUCACCUACGAGCGCUCUACUAUCAAGAGCAGCUCACAAAAUAUACAGGUAUAAGUGUCCC